AGUGAACGCCGGCGGUAGGCCUAACACAUGCAAGUCGAACGGCAGCACAGUAAGAGCUUGCUCUUACGGGUGGCGAGUGGCGGACGGGUGAGGAAUACAUCGGAAUCUACUUUUUCGUGGGGGAUAACGUAGGGAAACUUACGCUAAUACCGCAUACGACCUACGGGUGAAAGCAGGGGAUCUUCGGACCUUUCGCGAUUGAAUGAGCCGAUGUCGGAUUAGCUAGUUGGCGGGGUAAAGGCCCACCAAGGCGACGAUCCGUAGCUGGUCUGAGAGGAUGAUCAGCCACACUGGAACUGAGACACGGUCCAGACUCCUACGGGAGGCAGCAGUGGGGAAUACUGGACAAUGGGCGCAAGCCUGAUCCAGCCAUACCGCGUGGGUGAAGAAGGCCUUCGGGUUGUAAAGCCCUUUUGUUGGGAAAGAAAAGCAGCAGGUUAAUACCCCGCUGUUCUGACGGUACCCAAAGAAUAAGCACCGGCUAACUUCGUG
rnacentral:rRNA from 1 species